rnacentral:rRNA from 1 species
ACGCUCGUAGUCGGAUUUCGGGGCCUGCCUGCCGGUCUGCCGAUGGGUAUGCACUGGCAGGCGCGUCCUUCCUUCCGGAGACUGUCCCUACUCUUAACUGAGCGGGGUCGGGAGACGGAUCGUUUACUUUGAAAAAAUCAGAGUGUUUCAAGCAGGCAGCUCGCUCUUGCAUGGAUUAGCAUGGGAUAAUGAAAUAGGACUUUGGUGCUAUUUUGUUGGUUUCGAACACCGAAGUAAUGAUUAACAGGGACAGUCAGGGGCACUCGUAUUCCGCCGAGAGAGGUGAAAUUCUCAGACCAGCGGAAGACGAACCACUGCGAAAGCAUUUGCCAGGGAUGUUUUCACUGAUCAAGAACGAAAGUUAGGGGAUCGAAGACGAUCAGAUACCGUCGUAGUCUUAACCAUAAACCAUGCCGACUAGGGAUUGGAGGAUGUCCAUUUUUGACUCCUUCAGCACCUUACGGGAAACUAAAGUCUUUGGGUUCCGGGGGGAGUAUGGUCGCAAGGCUGAAACUUAAAGGAAUUGACGGAAGGGCACCACCAGGAGUGGAGCCUGCGGCUUAAUUUGACUCAACACGGGGAAACUUACCAGGUCCAGACAUUGUGAGGAUUGACAGAUUGAAAGCUCUUUCUUGAUUC